rnacentral:misc_RNA from 1 species
GAUGAAGAACGUAGCGAAAUGCGAUAAGUCAUGUGAAUUGCAGAAUUCAGUGAAUCAUCGAAUCUUUGAACGCACAUUGCGCCCUCUGGUAUUCCGGGGGGCAUGCCUGUUCGAGCGUCAUUAUAACCACUCAAGCUCUCGCUUGGUAUUGGGGUUCGCGGUUCCGCGGCCCCUAAAAUCAGUGGCGGUGCCUGUCGGCUCUACGCGUAGUAAUACUCCUCGCGAUUGAGUCCGGUAGGUCUACUUGCCAGCAACCCCCAAUUUUUACAGGUUGACCUCGGAUCAGGUAGGGAUACCCGCUGAACUUAAGCAUAUCAAUAAGCGGAGGA